UUUCAUUUUAAUUUUACGCAUGACUGUUUAGAUACAUUUUCGUUUAUUACCGUUUAAUGUACUUUUUCGUUUAUAACUGCUUCUAUUUUUAAAAUUCUAUUUUUUUAAUUUAUUUAUUUCAAUUCUAUUUAUUAUGUUUUGUGUGUUUCAUAACCAUAUAUUAUGUUGUUUUGUUUAUUAUCACUUUUAACUUGAAAUAUUGCAUCUUUAUCUUAUGUCUUUUUAAGUCUAAAUAUUUUUAUCAUUUCACUUAUAAUUGUUGUUUUUUAAAUUUUUU
rnacentral:lncRNA from 1 species